rnacentral:lncRNA from 1 species
GUCCCUUGCUACAAAUUAGCCUCUCGUGCCUCCCUGAGCUAGAGAAGCUUCUUCAAAAUUCCUAACAGGCAGCCUGGUGGAGAGAUGGGAGGGAGGAAGGGCGGGAGGAAGGGAGGGAGAGAGAGGUAGAGGGUGCCUGUCUGCUGAGUACAUGUGGUACAGGCAGGGAGAUGAGAACGCUGGCAGAGCAGGCAGUGUAAUUACAUGUUCCUCAUAUUUGAUUUUGCAAAAGGGACACACCUUUCUGCAGGAAAGAAGACACUGACCAGAUUGCAAGCGGUAUUUGUGGAUGCUUCGCUGCCACCCAGGGCCCAGGCGAACUGA